rnacentral:lncRNA from 1 species
GGAAGAUGACUCCUAGACACAAGUUGUUAUUUGAAAUAGUAAACAAAAAACUGUUGUCCAGAGGAGGAAGAAGAUUAAAGGCCAAUUUUAAGGAUCUAUGGGUCAUGAAUGCCCUAGAUAUGUGUGAAAAAGUAGUCCUUCCUGCUUUGAUGAUCAAUCAAAUGAGAAGGGUAACUUCACAUAAGACUUGACCGCAUGGGCUUGCAUAUGGCUUCCUUCU